CCAAUCACAGGCCUCGGAUCCUUCAACACAUGUUGUCAAAGAAGAGCUCUAGCAUCUUAUUUAUGUCUUUAUUUUAUUAUUAUUUACAACUUUGUGGUUAAGCAUCUUUGAUGGGCAUAACAUUAAGAGGAUUUCAUGCGAAAGUAAGAAAAAGUGCACCUUGAUAUGGCGAGGCCAGUCAUCCGUCUUCAAAACCCCACUGCUCCAGAGGGUCGUCAGCAGGCCUUAUUGGUGGCGACAAAUGGGGCCCGUGACUGCAGAAACAGGAGAAUGAGUUUUCGUCUUCCCCCUCCUCAGCUGCUCUGUGAUUCCACUGCACUGGCCCAUGCUGAAAGAGCACUACGUACUGAAGGGAUAAGAGCACCAUCACGACAGCAGUGUCUGGGGAAGAGGGUGCUACCCUUUGGCCAGUAUCUCAACGCACCAUCUCACUGGCUUGUGUCAAAUGAUCUGGGCUACAUGAAGUAUUUGAUCGACAAGCACAGAGAAGAACUCUCUUAAAUGGAAAGGGGCAAGCACAAAAUCAGUGGAUAAAAGACCACCUGACAGAGUAUGCAGAGAGCUUUCCAGAAGUUUCAAUCGCCCUGGAAGCCAACAUCCACCGAUGUGUUUACGGACAGAAAGGGUUUGAGAGCCAUAGCUUCCAGGAGAUGUGGGAGCUCUACAGCCAGUAUUCUGCACAGAAGGACAGGCCUGUUGAUUUUGGUACGAGUCAGAGGGAAACAAUACAGAAGGCAUACAGCUCUGUUAGCCGGUGGCUAAAUACACCUAUAACACACAUCACCAGUGUGGAGAUGAAAAGAUUUAGAAAAUACAUUUAUGACAAGAAGACACAAAAGUCAAGCUCUUCAAUCAGUGACCCCUCAUGGCUGGAUGAUACCCACUUGUUGGAGGUGAUCAAAUCUGAGCCCAUGGCUUCCACAGCAUCAUAAGCAGCCUCAGCAUCAUCUGCAGCCCCAGCUUUAUGCGCAGCCACAUCCACGCCUUCAAAGAAGUCCUCCUCCACACCUUCAAAGAAGUCCACACCUGCAUCAAAGAAGUCAUCCACAGCCACGGUCCCAGUAGUACCCAGUAGUAACUCCCCAGUGCGUAAUAUUUACAUGCACAAAUGUCCAUCCAUCCAUUUUCUACCGCUUAUCCGAACUACCUCGGGUCACGGGGAGCCUGCGCCUAUCUCAGGAGUCAUCGGGCAUCAAGGCAGGAUACACCCUGGAUGGAGUGCCAACCCAUCGCAGGGCACACUCACUCAUUCAUUCACUCACGCACUCACACCCUACGGACAAUUUUUCCAGAGAUGCCAAUCAACCUACCAUGCAUGUCUUUGGACCAGGGGAGGAAACCGGAGUACCCGGAGGAAACCCCCGAGGCACGGGGAGAACAUGCAAACUAUGCACAAAUGUCGAGCUGGAGGGCUGGGUGUGACUGUGGGAAAAUCCCAAUGGCAUUCCACCAGCUGAUCUUUCCUGGGUGAAGGAUGACACAGAGCGUGGACUCUUUGGGCCCAUUCAGGUGUAUCGUGACAAUGCUGGGGUAUUGAAGAGGCGGCGAGUACUAAAAUCAGACCGCGUGUGGUUUUACCCUCCAGAACCUCCAGGCUACAUCAGUGGUACUGUGCCAACUCCACAUCUCUUCUUUCGCGGUCACAUCUUUGUGUGGCGGCCUGUUAGAGUUUGGAAAUACUCACUGAAGUGUCCUCGAGGAGAAGAAUGUGUGGGUCAAGGUAUAAACGUGUACCUCUACAAAUCAGGCUACCAUACCAAGGUUCGUCAUGUUUGUGACGUUUCCGGCUGGUACUGUAUAUUAAAAGAGGUCCUGUGCUACGGACCAUGUACAAAAGCAGCCAGGGGUGGCGGUAGUUGAGAUGGUGGUCUAGUGGGUUAAACCACUGAACUGGUUAAUCAAAGGUUGCUGGUUCGAUCCCAGCAGCCACCACCAGUGUGUCCUUGAGCAAGACACUUUACUCCAUGUUGCUCCAGGGGGAUUGUCCCUGUAAUAAGUGCACUGUAAGUUGCUUUGGAUAAAAGCGUCUGCCAAAUGACUAAAUGUAAAUGUAAAUGGUAGUUGAAAGGUGGGCAGGUGGUUGGCGUGGGAUUCUGCCAUUCUUUGUCAACUCAGUGAGGCUCACCAAGGCAUGUUUCCUGUUAUUCUGACAGACAUGUGAGUACACUGGAGAGUGGCGUAAACGCAACUAACGUGCCUGGAAUUAGUUGCCAUAUUAAAAAUCACACUUUACAGGCGUGGUGUGGACAAAAAUGUGGUGCGGCUUUUGAGGGACCGGACUGAAGGGAACACCAUGGUUAAAGUGUGGCGUCAAAUUCAGGAGAAUCAUGUUGAGGAGUAUCUCCACAGGAAAGACCUUUACACUACACUCCUCAUGACUCUCCUGAAGCCUGGGGGAAUUGUGUCGGCCUUAGGACACACGGUUGAGGCUCCACCUCCUCAAAGAGAGCUUCCCUCUGCUCGCCUGCUUCGCCAUGCUUUCCUUCUGGCGGAUGCCAACAACGUACAGGACUACAGGAACCAGAUUCUCUCCCCUUUCGGCAAUGUGCUAAAGAUGGACUCCACUAAAAAGGUACAUCCAGCAGUACACAAUAUAGUUUAGAACAUUUUUUUCAUUAUUUAAUCACCAUCACAUUUGUCCAAACCUGAAUGACUAACUUUCCUCUGUAAAACACAAAGAUAGAUACAGAAAGAAUUACAUUUUGGGUGUGUUCCGUAAAAACACGUGUUAACGGUAUUGAAGGCAAGGCAAGCAAGUUUAUUUAUAUAGCACAUUUCAUACACAAGGUCAAUUCAAAGCGCUUUACAUAAAAUGAUUGACAGAAAGACGUAUCUUUAAAAUGCAAAUGAUUUAAGAUCACACAUACUUUAGAUUUGAAGAAACAAUAAACAGCAAUAAAAUUGAUUAAAAAUACAAGUGUAUUUACGUAGCAGGUAUGUCGUAGCUUGCAGGUGGUGAAGAAGCUGUCUGGGGAGGGUAAAGGCACGGCGGAGUGGAUUACCAGCAUAGGCAAUGAGCAUUCGCAGAUUGUCUCAUUUGUUCUUACCUGUGAAGAGUCCACUCAGUGUCUGAAGCCCAUGUGUCAGGGAGUAAUGGACCGCUUCCACCAGGCCAAUCAACCUGUGCCCAACAUCUUGUACAUUGACCGCGGGUGUUGUCAGGCACAAGGCCCAAGCACUGUGGAGAGCUUAUUCCAGACGCGGGUGGAGAAUGGUAUGGUGGUGCGUUUGGACAUCUUCCACUGGAUACAUCGCUUUGAUGCAGCCAUUCGCACAGACAGCCACUCAAAGUACGCUGUGUUCAAGUCUGCCCUAGCAGGAGCAGUGCUGGCCUAAAACCGCGCAGACUUGGAGCUGCUCAUCAAAGCUUUUAGAGCGAAGGACCCAACCGUUUUGGACACUGUGGCUGAUGAAGACAUGGUGGGACUCAUGGUGAUCCUCCAGAGAUGAGCAUGUACAGAGUGACUCAUACUACCAACAUCAAUGGGAUGGACGUUCCUUAUUUCAAAUGUCUCCGUGGGAACAACAGCCUGUAAGGAUUCCACAAAACUCUGCCUCACAUGAGACCAGGUCCCCACUGUGCUGCACGUCCAUAUCAAGUUUACCUGAUUAGUGGAAUAGCUCGGUGGAACUCAGACUGCAGGUCUGAUGCUGUGUUUGGUGGCAAAGGCAGAAAACUCAGAUCCUACUCUGCGCCUCUGAUUGAGCGCCUCAACACUCGCUGCCAGAAGCAAACCGUGGAGAAGAAUUUCCGUGCCCCUGCUGCUGUGACUUCAAAUGAGCUGCUUGGUUUGGAGUACCUCUUAAGCCAAAGCACAGGUGAAUCUGUUGGUCUGUCCCUCAGUGACCUCUCAAAGGACGGGCCCAGUCCAGAGGAGGAAGUGGUUCAGCCUGACGAGCCUGACCCCAAUGAGGAGGACGAGGCCUACCAGAGCGACCCUGAGGCAGACCAGGACAGGGUGACUACUGACCCGGCCCACAUAAACCUUACCACGGAGGAGACCACCACUGCUUACCCUCCGGCCUUUGUGACUCAUGUUCUAUUCACCUGAAUGCAUCACUAGCAUUUUUACAAUCUUUUUAGUCUGAGUGAAAACUGACUUUUUACAAAGCCAAUUGAUGCAAAAAAUGUAUCUUAACAAUGGAUUAUUCUACUUUUCAACAGGAGGAUACCUGUAGCCCCAACCCGCUGCCUGGAUACCAGCAGCUGGAUAACUUCUGUUCUCUGCUUGUGGAGAUUGGCAAGACUGAGAAUAGGCUGAGCCUGAUGACAGAGCAAAGGAACAGGCUCGUUGCCGCAUGGCACGCUGUAAUGGAACAUGACAAGCAACCACAGAAGUUUCAUCAGCUGUACAGAACACACUGGGGUAACACGUUGUAUUGCCACACAAAGAGGGACGAUCUUGCUGAUGCUGCUGUGAUUCAGCGGGUCAAGAUGGCCAAACGCUACGCACCGGCUCAUGAUCGCUGGUGCCGUGCAGCUACGUAAUUAUUUGCACAUGCUCCUCCCGAACUUUGUUAAUAAAACAUCAUUUCCGGCCACGUCAACCAGCACCACACCCUUGACAGUGUCUUUUUGCCCCACCGACACACCACAGAGUAUUGACACCCCCUCAGCCUGGUCCAGAGCUACAGUGUACAAAAGAAAAAGCACAGACAGUCCUACUCAAGUUGGAGUCAAACUCUCACUUGCCUGUUUGUACGCUUUGCCAACAACCCACUCAGGGACACAAAAAAAUUAAAACAAAGAAUUUUUGUCCCGUGAAAAUGAUGUCGACCUCCAAACGAUUGGACAACAGAGUGUUCACCAGCUAUGAACACUUUACCACAGUUGUGGACUCACAAAAGUGAAGUUUGUUUUGCUGUUGUGAGAUAGAAACACCGUUUUUAUUGUUAUAUAUAUAUAUAUAAUGCCGACUAUUGUUCAUUUUAUAAAGUUCAUAUGUGUAUCUUCUGUUAAAUCAACAAAAAUAUAGGAUAUUGUAUAUAUUGCCCUUAAUAUAUAUUUUCUAUGUCACUUACAUAUUUUAUACCUGAUAUAAAUGUGAUGCUUGUCUUGAAUAUGGCAUUUUAUUUAAUUCCAGUUAUAUUUUAUUAAACGUACCUAAUAUUUCAUAUUAUAUUAUAUUUCAUGUUAUAUGUAACCCAACAUUGUUAGCAUUGUUAUAUAUAUAUUUCAUAUAAUGUUAAUAAAAAAAACAUGUGUAA